rnacentral:rRNA from 1 species
GACGAACGCUGGCGGCGUGCUUAACACAUGCAAGUCGAGCGGAAAGGCCAUGCUUGCAGGGUACUCGAGUGGCGAACGGGUGGGUAACUCACGGGUGAUCUGCCUUGCACUUCGGGAUAAGUCUGGUCAACUAAGUCUAAUUCCGACUGGGAGACAUUUUUAGUGUGAUGGUUGGAAAGUUUUUUCGGUGUAGGAUGAGCUCGCGGCCUAUCAGCUUGUUGGUGGGGUAAUGGCCUACCGAGGCGGCGACGCGUAGCCGGCCUGAGAAGGUGGCCGGCCACAUUGGGACUGAGAUACGGCACAGACUCCGACUGGAGGCAGCAGUGGGGAAUAUUGAACAAGGGGCGCAAGCCUGAUGCAGCGACGCCGCGUGGGGGAUGACGGUCUUCGGGUUGUAAACGCCUUUCGCUAGGGACGAAGCUUUUUGUGACGGUACCUAGAGAAGAAGCACCGGCUAACUACGUG